rnacentral:tRNA from 1 species
GAGGGUAUAGCUCAGUUGUAGAACACGUGCUUAGCAUGCAUGAGGUCCUGGGUUCAAGCCCCAGCUCCUCUG